rnacentral:misc_RNA from 1 species
GUGAGUCAUCGAAUCUUUGAACGCAUAUUGCGCCCCUUGGUAUUCCUUGGGGCACACCUGUUCGAGCGUCAUUUCACCAAUCAAGCCUCGCUUGGUAUUGGGCGAUGCGCAUGCCGCACGCCCCAAAUGCACCGGCCGAGCGUGCUCUCCCCCGGCGUCGUGGAGACAUAUCGCCAUGGGGAUGGGACCGCCCUCGCGCCGCAAAAACCUCUCAUAAAGGUUGACCUCGGAUCAGGUGGGGAUACCCGCUGAACUUAAGCAUAUCAAUAAGCGGAGGA